rnacentral:rRNA from 1 species
AUUGAACGCUGGCGGCAUGCCUUACACACGCAAGUCGAACGGCAGCACGGGAGCAAUCCUGGUGGCGAGUGGCGAACGGGUGAGUAAUAUAUCGGAACGUGCCCAGUCGUGGGGGAUAACGCAGCGAAAGCUGUGCUAAUACCGCCUACGAUCUACGGAUGAAAGCGGGGGAUCGCAAGACCCCGCGCGAUUGGAGCGGCCGAUAUCAGAUUAGCUAGUUGGUGGGGUAAAGGCCCACCAAGGCGACGAUCUGUAGCUGGUCUGAGAGGACGACCAGCCACACUGGAACUGAGACACGGUCCAGACUCAUACGGGAGGCAGCAGUGGGGAAUUUUGGACAAUGGGCGCAAGCCUGAUCCAGCAAUGCCGCGUGCAGGAUGAAGGCCUUCGGGUUGUAAACUGCUUUUGUACGGAACGAAACGGCCCUUUCUAAUACAGGGGGCUAAUGACGGUACCGUAAGAAUAAGCACCGGCUAACUACGUGCCAGCAGCCGCAGUAAUAC